rnacentral:rRNA from 1 species
GUGCUAAUCUGCGAUAAGCGCCGGUAAGGUGAUAUGAACCGUUAUAACCGGCGAUACCCGAAUGGGGAAACCCAGUGUGACUCGUCACACUAUCAUUAACUGAAUCCAUAGGUUAAUGAGGCGAACCGGGGGAACUGAAACAUCUAAGUACCCCGAGGAAAAGAAAUCAACCGAGAUUCCCCCAGUAGCGGCGAGCGAACGGGGAGGAGCCCAGAGCCUGAAUCAGCAUGUGUGUUAGUGGAAGCGUCUGGAAAGGCGCGCGAUACAGGGUGACAGCCCCGUACACAAAAGCGCAUGUGCUGUGAGCUCGAUGAGUAGGGCGGGACACGUGGUAUCCUGUCUGAAUAUGGGGGGACCAUCCUCCAAGGCUAAAUACUCCUGACUGACCGAUAGUGAACCAGUACCGUGAGGGAAAGGCGAAAAGAACCCCGGCGAGGGGAGUGAAAAAGAACCUGAAACCGUGUACGUACAAGCAGUGGGAGCACCCUUUGGGUGUGACUGCGUACCUUUUGUAUAAUGGGUCAGCGACUUAUAUUCUGUAGCAAGGUUAACCGAAUAGGGGAGC